ACGAACGCUGGCGGCGUGCUUAACCCAUGCAAGUCGAACGAAAAGAGGGAAAGAGCUUGCUCUUUCCGGAAUUGAGUGGCAAACGGGUGAGUAACACGUAAACAACCUGCCUUCAGGAUGGGGACAACAGACGGAAACGACUGCUAAUACCGAAUAAGUUCCAAGAGCCGCAUGGCCCAUGGAAGAAAAGGUGGCCUCUACCUGUAAGCUAUCGCCUGAAGAGGGGUUUGCGUCUGAUUAGCUGGUUGGAGGGGUAACGGCCCACCAAGGCGACGAUCAGUAGCCGGUCUGAGAGGAUGAACGGCCACACUGGAACUGAGACACGGUCCAGACUCCUACGGGAGGCAGCAGUGGGGAAUCUUCCGCAAUGGGCGAAAGCCUGACGGAGCAACGCCGCGUGAGUGAUGACGGCCUUCGGGUUGUAAAACUCUGUGAUCCGGGACGAAAAGGCAGAGUGCGAAGAACAAACUGCAUUGACGGUACCGGAAAAGCAAGCCACGGCUAACUACGUG
rnacentral:rRNA from 1 species